rnacentral:rRNA from 1 species
GACGAACCGUGCGAACGUUAUUCGGAAUCAUUGGGCGUAAAGCGCACGUAGGCGGUUCGUUAUGUCGGAUGUGAAAGCCCUUGGCUUAACCGAGGAAGUGCAUCCGAAACUGGCGAGCUAGAGUACGAAAGAGGAUCGCGGAAUUCCCGGUGUAGAGGUGAAAUUCGUAGAUAUCGGGAGGAACACCGGUGGCGAAGGCGGCGAUCUGGGUCGAUACUGACGCUGAGGUGCGAAAGCGUGGGGAGCAAACAGG